UAGACUUAGCAGAGGAGAUCAGUGGACGAUUGUUAAUUCUUUCACUCGUUCGUUAUUUGCUCAAUCACACAACUUGUUCCCUCUUCGGGCAAAAGUGAUGAAGCGGUGAAAUCGAUAGCAGAGGAGAUCAGUAGACGAUUCGCUUGUUUGACACAAGAAUCAUUUAUCGAGAGGAUCUGUAUUUGAUGACGUAGAACGCUUACUUUGAUCGAGAGGUCGAACCCUUGCAUCUUUCAUCUCCGACCAAGAAAUUUUCAAAGGCGAAUGUUCUACAGCGAAUAAUUUGAUUAGAUGUGGAGCUUUUGGGGAAGACUGAUCGAACUAUAAAGCAAGCUCGAAAUGGAAAUCUGCAGGGUUUUAAUUGCAAGAGGCGCUAAGUUUCUGAACGCCAUCUCUUUUGAUAGCUGAGCAAAGCAGUUAUUUUCUCAGAUCAGACACUGACCCUGUUGGAGAAAAGGGGAAUACUGAUGAAUGUCAUUGAUGGGCAUUCUUCUUGAUAAAGUCGUAAAUUAUAGAUUGGAGGCCAGAGAUUCAAGAAGUGAAGGCUAAAAAUUUGCUGCUGAAAAAUUAUUGUCAACCACUCUACUAAAUAGCCAAAAAAAUGAGUUAAGUCACGACUCCUGACACUUAAAUUUUGUGGAUUGAAUUGUAUCAUGCAUGUUUUUGGGGGCUGUUCUGCUUUUAGUUGUAAGUGUAAAGAGGGUGGAAAUUUGGGAGAACUUGGGAUUACUUUAAUUGAAUAGUUGUUUGUUAUUUUAACUUAUGUUUCUUGAUAGGUGGAAUAAGCUUACUGGUUGAGAAUCUAAAAGAUAAGUCUAUACCAAUAAAAGUAAGCUGAUUUGUUUUAUGUGAAUAGGAAAUUGAGGCAGAGAAGGAACUAAAAAAAGCAUUCAAGCUCUUUGACAAGAGUCCAAAUGACUAUAUAUAAGUAAGGUUUGUGUGUGUGUAUUUGUCAUGAAUUUAUUUCCAUUAAUAUGAUGCCUUCUUAUUAACAAGUUUUGUAUUGUUGCUUGUUCAUAUUAAAUAUUUCUAAUAACAUUUAACUAUUUUUUUGGGGCUAAAGCUUCUUUUGAAAAUGCUUGUAGUUGGCAGGAGGAUGUCAAAAAUAAAAAAUGAUUUGUUUAAGGAUAGUUGGUAUUCUGUGUAUAUUUGAUUAUGGGUUGGGUUGUUAGUUUUUCUGAACUUUAUGUGCUGUAAAAAGUUGCUGUAUUGGAAUUUGUUGGUGUACUAGAAUGAUGUUGUAAACACACUGUUAAAUUCAUUGUAUUUUGAAUGGUGAGAAUAUUUUUUGAGUUAUGUAACGCUUAGAUCGUUUCCAUAUUUAUA